rnacentral:rRNA from 1 species
GAUGAACGCUGGCGGCGUGCCUAAUACAUGCAAGUCGAGCGAACGGACGAGAAGCUUGCUUCUCUGAUGUUAGCGGCGGACGGGUGAGUAACACGUGGAUAACCUACCUAUAAGACUGGGAUAACUUCGGGAAACCGGAGCUAAUACCGGAUAAUAUUUUGAACCGCAUGGUUCAAAAGUGAAAGACGGUCUUGCUGUCACUUAUAGAUGGAUCCGCGCUGCAUUAGCUAGUUGGUAAGGUAACGGCUUACCAAGGCAACGAUGCAUAGCCGACCUGAGAGGGUGAUCGGCCACACUGGAACUGAGACACGGUCCAGACUCCUACGGGAGGCAGCAGUAGGGAAUCUUCCGCAAUGGGCGAAAGCCUGACGGAGCAACGCCGCGUGAGUGAUGAAGGUCUUCGGAUCGUAAAACUUUGUUAUUAGGGAAGAACAUAUGUGUAAGUAACUGUGCACAUCUUGACGGUACCUAAUCAGAAAGCCACGGCUAACUACGUGCCAGCAGCCGCGGUAAUACGUAGGUGGCAAGCGUUAUCCGGAAUUAUUGGGCGUAAAGCGCGCGUAGGCGGUUUUUUAAGUCUGAUGUGAAAGCCCACGGCUCAACCGUGGAGGGUCAUUGGAAACUGGAAAACUUGAGUGCAGAAGAGGAAAGUGGAAUUCCAUGUGUAGCGGUGAAAUGCGCAGAGAUAUGGAGGAACACCAGUGGCGAAGGCGACUUUCUGGUCUGUAACUGACGUUGAUGUGCGAAAGCGUGGGGAUCAAACAGGAUUAGAUACCCUGGUAGUCCACGCCGUAAACGAUGAGUGCUAAGUGUUAGGGGGUUUCCGCCCCUUAGUGCUGCAGCUAACGCAUUAAGCACUCCGCCUGGGGAGUACGACCGCAAGGUUGAAGCUCAAAGGAAUUGACGGGGACCCGCACAAGCGGUGGAGCAUGUGGUUUAAUUCGAAGCAACGCGAAGAACCUUACCAAAUCUUGACAUCCUUUGACAACUCUAGAGAUAGAGCUUUCCCCUUCGGGGGACAAAGUGACAGGUGGUGCAUGGUUGUCGUCAGCUCGUGUCGUGAGAUGUUGGGUUAAGUCCCGCAACGAGCGCAACCCUUAAGCUUAGUUGCCAUCAUUAAGUUGGGCACUCUAAGUUGACUGCCGGUGACAAACCGGAGGAAGGUGGGGAUGACGUCAAAUCAUCAUGCCCCUUAUGAUUUGGGCUACACACGUGCUACAAUGGACAAUACAAAGGGCAGCGAAACCGCGAGGUCAAGCAAAUCCCAUAAAGUUGUUCUCAGUUCGGAUUGUAGUCUGCAACUCGACUACAUGAAGCUGGAAUCGCUAGUAAUCGUAGAUCAGCAUGCUACGGUGAAUACGUUCCCGGGUCU